rnacentral:rRNA from 1 species
GUGGGGAAUCUUGCCCAAUGGGCGCAAGCCUGAGGCAGCAACGCCGCGUGCGGGAAGAAGGCCCUCGGGUUGUAAACCGCUUUCAGCAGGAACGAAAAUGACGGUACCUGCAGAAGAAGGUGCGGCCAACUACGUGCCAGCAGCCGCGGUGACACGUAGGCACCAAGCGUUGUCCGGAUUUAUUGGGCGUAAAGAGCUCGUAGGCGGUUCGGUAAGUCGGGUGUGAAAUCCCAGGGCUCAACCCUGGAACUGCACCCGAUACUGCUGUGACUUGAGUCCGGUAGGGGAGCGUGGAAUUCCUGGUGUAGCGGUGGAAUGCGCAGAUAUCAGGAGGAACACCAAUGGCGAAGGCAGCGCUCUGGGCCGGUACUGACGCUGAGGAGCGAAAGCGUGGGGAGCGAACAGGAUUAGAUACCCCGGUAGUCC